AUUGAACGCUGGCGGCAGGCCUAACACAUGCAAGUCGAGCGAGCGGCGGACGGGUGAGUAAUGUAUGAGGCCUGCCCGGUAGAGGGGUAUAACUACUAGACACGGUGGCUAAUAGCGCAUCCUAUCGGAUAACCCAUAUGGGAUGAGCUAGUAGGUGGGGUAAAGGCUCACCUAGGCGACGAUCUCUAGCUGGUCUGAGAGGAUGAGCAGCCACACUGGGACUGAGACACGGCCCAGACUCCUACGGAGGCAGCAGUGGGGAAUAUUGCACAAUGGGCGCAAGCCUGAUGCAGCCAUGCCGGGUGUAUGAAGAAGGCCUUAGGGUUGUAAAGUACUUUCAGCGGGGAGGCGUUACCCGCAGAAGAAGCACCGGCUAACUCCGUGCCAGCAGCCGCGGUAAUUC
rnacentral:rRNA from 1 species